GGCAUGGUAGCUAAGUGGGUAAAGCGCUUACAGCUAUUGACCGAAUAUCGAUGGUUCGAAUCCAUCCCGGAGCAACA
rnacentral:tRNA from 1 species